ACGACCUCGGCCACACUGUGAUUGGUGUGGAAUUCGUGGAGGGAUGCGUGCUCAGCUACUUCGCCGAAAACGGUCUGCAAUUCGAAGAGGCCACUUGUCCCAUCACUAAAUGCAAAAUACUGAGGACCACAGACCACCGUUUGCAAGUGUUUAUCUGCAACAUUUUGGAUUUUAAAAGGGAAUGCGCUGGAACCAUGGA